rnacentral:lncRNA from 1 species
GCCAUUCAGAAAGGCAAUAAGCAAGCUCUAAGAAUACAUGCUGAAAAUACAGUCCACCAGAAAAAGCAAGCAAUUGAUUUCUUAAGAGUGAGUGCUAGAGUUGAUGCUGUGGCAGCCAGAGUUCAAAAUGCAGUAACAAUGGGCAGGGUAACAAGUCCAUAUGAGGCAUAGUUAAGUCUGUGGGUGCUUCAUUGAGGAGUAGAACCUUGAAAAGGUUAAAAAAAAAAAAAAAAAAAAAAAAAAAAAAAGAAAAAGAAAAAGAAAAAAUUAUGCUCAGAUAGCAUCUUUUCAGUGUAAAUUUUUCUAAUAACUAUUUUUACAGACUUCUGCCUUGAUGAACAAAUUCGAACACCAGUUUGAAAUAUUGGAUAUUCAAACACAACAAAUGGAAGAUAAAAUGAGUAACUCUACAACCCUAACAACACCACAAAACCAAAUGGAUAUGCUGCUUCAGGAAAUGCCAGAUGAAGCUAGGAUGAACUAUCACAGAGACUUGCUCUUUUCCAUGAUUGAAUGUAAUUUAAAGAGCUACUGCUUCUGUUUGCUUCACUUGCUUCUGAAACAUUCUUUGUUUGUAUAGGUAAGUUAUACUCCACUUACAAUAAGAAUACUAUAUAUGUCAGAAUGCUUUUUUGCCUAAACACUGUUUAUAUAUAAUGCUUUCUUUUGCCUUGCUAUACUUUUCAAUACAUUAAGAAAUUCCAGGGAGUUUCCAUCUUGACAGAUUUUAUAUAUAGUUCUAUAUAUUAUAUGUAAAAGUGUGAGGGAUGUAUUUUUGACAGAGCUAGAAUUAGCUUCUUGUAUCUUAACCAUGCUUCCUCAAAAGUUAGAUAAAAAAUUCAGCACCAAAGUGUUACAAAGUACUUCAUACAGAAUGGAGUACAGAAUAAAAGUUUUGGGAUUUUAAAAAUUCAAAGUAGUUUUAAAUCUGUCUGCAGUGAGACGUGAUACAUAAAAAUAAAGGCAUGGAAACAUGUUUAUUUAAUGUUUACAUAGUCAAAAUCACCUCAUUUAGUGUCAUACAAUGGGUAUGACGUAUUUUUGUUUUGUGUUUUUUGUUUCUGUUAUCCAAGCAGAAAUGCAGUUGACUUUAAUCUGUAUUUAUCAGCUUUUAAAUUUAAAUUAGUUUUAGAAUUUUCAACCAGUAAUGUAAUGACUAUUUAAAUUCCUUAAAUUAAAGACAGUUCCAUUGAUAAUGUUCCUACUUAACUAGAAAGAAAUAUGCAACAUUAAACCAGAGAAAUUAAGGUUUGUUCAGUUUUACAAUUUUCUGUUUGCUAAAUAUCAUUGUUAAGACUCUCCCCAAAAUUUAACUUUUCAUACUUCGAAUGAAAUUGUGAAACACAUUUUAAUGAUUAUCCUAUUUCUACUUAACCCUUAUCAUGCUGUAUUUGUAUUUUAUUUUAUUUUUAGUAGAGAUGGGGUCUCACAAUGUUGGCCAGGCUGGUCUCGCACUACUGACCUCAAGCGAUCCUUAUGCCUCGGCCUCCCAAAUUGCUGGGAUUACAAGUGUGAGCCACCACACCCGACCUGUAUUUUAAAAGGAGGUUAAUUCAUAUGGUAUUAAUAUAAUUUACUUAUCAUACACAUUUUUUCAUAAGAUUAUUGACUGAUUUCCAUGACUCUUAACCUGUGUUUUUAAACCAACUGACAAAAUAACAAUGAGAACAAAACUGAAUCAACUCAAGUUACAUGUACUAGAAUUCCUGGUUAAAUGUGUUCAUUCUUUUAAAACAACUCUUUAAUAACUGGAAAAAAUGAAGUGGACAAUAAAUACCUUAAAUGUUUUGCUCAGACAUGUGAAUUACAUCCAGCUCAAUGGAAGUUGGGAGCAUAACAUGGGGUUAUUGUGGGGACACAAAAGUUAUAAGACUGUAAAGAAGAACAAAUUCUGGAAGGCCAGGAUCCUUGAGUUUAAAAACAAAAUGACCAGUUGUAUUACUUGUCAUCUCCUCAGGAAUACCUAUAUUUUACCCAGAUAAAAUUAACAAAUUCACAUGAGUAUGCAAUUUUCUGAUAUAACAUUCUCAAAUGUGGAGAAGUGAUGAAGUUUUAUUUUAGCAAGUAUGCUGCUACUAAUCUAGGUUAAGUAAGUUAGAUGUUUUUUCUUAUUUACUGCAAGAUUGAUCCAUGAACAAAUUCCAAUAGUUUGUGAAGUUCUAUUGAAGAGCAGAUCUGUUUAGAAAAUCUUUUCAUUGUAAGUCAUGAAGGCCUUCAAAGUGCAAUUGCAGAGAGAGUUCUUUGCUAAUUGUUC